rnacentral:rRNA from 1 species
ACACAUGCAAGUCGACGGGUAACAUAAGUGCUUGCACUUGAUGACGACCGGCGCACGGGUGCGUAACGCGUAUACAAUCUGCCCUUUACUAAGGGAUAGCCCAUGGAAACGUGGAUUAUACCUUAUAGUAUCAAGAAGUCGCCUGAUUUUUUGAUUAAAGGUUACGGUACAGGAUGAGUAUGCGUCCUAUUAGCUAUUAUGAGAGGUAACGGCUCCCAUAGGCGAUGAUAGGUAGGGGUUCUGAGAGGGAGAUCCCCCACACUGGUACUGAGACACGGGACCAGACUCCUACGGGAGGCAGCAGUGAGGAAUAUUGGACAAUGGGAGCAAUCCUGAUCCAGCCAUGCCGCGUGCAGGAAGACGGUCCUAUGGAUUGUAAACUUGCUUUUAUACAGGAAGAAAAAGGUGUACGUGUACACUGUUGACGGUACUGUAUGAAUAAGGAUCGGCUAACUCCGUGCCAGCAGACGCGGUAAUACGGAGGAUCCGAGCGUUAUCCGGAAUAAUUGGGUUUAAAGGGUCCGUAGGCGGGAUAAUAACGUCAGUGGUGAAAGUAUGUGGCUCAACCAUAAAAU